CAAUUCUUUGCACCAUUUUCAGAAAAUCAAAUACAAGGAUGGAAUUCCGGCUACAAAAUAAAUAUUAUAGAGUUGGAUCGAAGAAAAGUAACACAUAGAUCCAAGACUACAGACAUCAGAAACAUAACCAGAGAUAAACUAUCACAACAAUGAACAACAAAGUGACAUAAAAGUAAAUCUAAAGCACCUUGCAGAAACUAUCCGAAAUACCAAUACACUACAUAACUUAGCAGAAGACAUGUCUGAGCUUUCUACCAGAGAAAAUCAAAAAUCAGUAAGAAGGGUAAUUGGUCGGGCUACGGGGAUCACAUCGGCCCAACCUAUAGCUUGUUAUACUAUCCAAAGCUGCCCCAAAUACUCUUUGAUCGUAAUCAUAAUUGUUGCCAUCGUAAUGUGAUCUAUAUCCACUGUAAGGUGAUCUAUAACCAUUAGACUGGUUUACUGAAACACCAGGGGGGACUGGAACUUGUGCGUAACUAGUUUGGUGCUGUGAAAACAAACAUGAAGUUGAUAACCUUGCGGAAUUUGGUGAAAUUUCCUUAUCAGGCCUUGGUCUAGAUGGAAUAUUUAAGGCCGGCAGUGUUGCAAUUGGCGAGUUAUUAUAGGGCUUGUCUUGCCCAGAUAUUGCAAAUUUUAAUGUUCUAUUGUAGAGUGUCACUAAACCAGAGAAAAGCUUCACAGCAUAGUCUGCAAUCUCUUCUGUCUCAUAUUUUGCAAAGGCAAAACCUUUAGGCUUAUCAGUUUCCUUGUCACGAGGAAUGUACAAGUCAACAACACGCCCUGCUUGAAUUAGAAUGUCAUACAGUACACGAUCACAUACUCUCUCAUCCAAAUUUCCGACAUAUACAGUGCAAUUAGGGUUCUCCGCCAUGCUUUUAUCGGGAGGAGAGAAAUUGGAUGCCCAGUACCACUAGAUUCACAAAGUAUAUCG
rnacentral:misc_RNA from 1 species